GUCUAUGGCUAUAUCACCCUGAACACACUUGAUCUUGUCUGAUCUCAGAAGCUAAGCAGGGUCAGGUCUGGUUAGUACUUGGAAGGGAGAAAUUAUCUCAAUUCAAACAUCACAAAAAAUCUGAAAGCCAGCUACC
rnacentral:rRNA from 1 species